UACAGAGGUCCCGAGCGUUGUUCGGAUUCAUUGGGCGUAAAGGGUGCGUAGGCGGCGGGGCCAGUCUGAUGUGAAAUCCCGGGGCUCAACCCCGGAACUGCAUUGGAUGCUGCCUUGCUAGAGUACUGGAGAGGGAACUGGAAUUUACGGUGUAGCAGUGAAAUGCGUAGAGAUCGUAAGGAAGGCCAGUGGCGAAGGCGAGUUCCUGGACAGUUACUGACGCUGAGGCACGAAGGCCAGGGGAGCAAACGGG
rnacentral:rRNA from 1 species